rnacentral:rRNA from 1 species
AGAGUUGAUCAUGGCUCAGGAUGAACGCUAGCGGCAGGCUUAACACAUGCAAGUCGAGGGGCAGCGGGAUGUAGCAAUACAUUGCCGGCGACCGGCGGAUGGGUGCGUAACGCGUAUGCAACCUACCUUAUACAGGGGAAUAACCUUUCGAAAGGGAGACUAACACCCCAUGGUAUUGAUUUAAGGCAUCUUAGAUUAAUUAAAUAUUUAUAGGUAUAAGAUGGGCAUGCGUAUGAUUAGCUAGUUGGUAGGGUAACGGCUUACCAAGGCGACGAUCAUUAGGGGUUCUGAGAGGAAGGUCCCCCACACUGGUACUGAGACACGGACCAGACUCCUACGGGAGGCAGCAGUGAGGAAAAUUGGUCAAUGGGCGCAAGCCUGAACCAGCCAUGCCGCGUGCAGGAAGACGGCCUUAUGGGUUGUAAACUGCUUUUACAUAAGACUAACCGUAUAUUUGCGAAUAUACCUGAAUGUAUUAUGAGAAUAAGGAUCGGCUAACUCCGUGCCAGCCGCCGC